GAUGAACGCUGGCGGCGUGCCUAAUACAUGCAAGUCGAGCGAACGGACGAGAAGCUCGCUUCUCUGAUGUUAGCGGCGGACGGGUGAGUAACACGUGGAUAACCUACCUAUAAGACUGGGAUAACUUCGGGAAACCGGAGCUAAUACCGGAUAAUAUUUUGAACCGCAUGGUUCAAAAGUGAAAGACGGUCUUGCUGUCACUUAUAGAUGGAUCCGCGCUGCAUUAGCUAGUUGGUAAGGUAACGGCUUACCAAGGCAACGAUGCAUAGCCGACCUGAGAGGGUGAUCGGCCACACUGGAACUGAGACACGGUCCAGACUCCUACGGGAGGCAGCAGUAGGGAAUCUUCCGCAAUGGGCGAAAGCCUGACGGAGCAACGCCGCGUGAGUGAUGAAGGUCUUCGGAUCGUAAAACUCUGUUAUUAGGGAAGAACAUAUGUGUAAGUAACUGUGCACACCUUGACGGUACCUAAUCAGAAAGCCACGGCUAACUACGUG
rnacentral:rRNA from 1 species